rnacentral:rRNA from 1 species
AGGCUUAACACAUGCAAGUCGAGCGCACUCUUUUAGAGUGAGCGGCAAACGGGUGAGUAACGCGUGGGAAUCUACCCAUCUCUACGGAAUAACACAGAGAAAUUUGUGCUAAUACCGUAUACGUCCUUCUGGGAGAAAGAUUUAUCGGAGAUGGAUGAGCCCGCGUUGGAUUAGCUAGUUGGUGAGGUAACGGCUCACCAAGGCGACGAUCCAUAGCUGGUCUGAGAGGAUGAUCAGCCACACUGGGACUGAGACACGGCCCAGACUCCUACGGGAGGCAGCAGUGGGGAAUAUUGGACAAUGGGGGCAACCCUGAUCCAGCCAUGCCGCGUGAGUGAUGAAGGCCCUAGGGUUGUAAAGCUCUUUCA